rnacentral:lncRNA from 1 species
UGCAAGGGGAAGGUAUUAGCACCCCUCACACCCAUGGUACUCCAUAGGAACCAUCUAGGAUGUUUGCGCUUACGUGUGUAUUAUUUAUCGAAUGCUUGCUUGCCAAAGGUUUGCGGAGUGGAGGUGGAUUUUAAAUUAGUGUGCUCGCCAAGGAAUGGAUCCUCGUGCCUACGUAUGCCCACUUGUUGAAGUGAGAAAUCAGAGCGUUCGUAGUUCGU